rnacentral:rRNA from 1 species
CCCUUAGAUGUUCUGGGCCGCACGCGCGCUACACUGAUGCAUUCAACGAGUCUAAAACCUGCUCUGAUAGGGGUGGGUAAUCUUUUGAAUGUGCAUCGUGAUUGGGAUAGAUGAUUGCAAUUUUUCAUCUUCAACGAGGGAUGCCUAGUAAACGCAAGUCAUCAGCUUGCAUUGAUUACGUCCCUGCCCUUUGUACACACCGCCCGUCGCUCCUACCGAUUGAAUGAUCCGAUGAAUAUCAUGGAUUGAGGAUGCAAGUAGGUUAGCCUAUCUUCAUCUUCGAGAAGUGAAGUAAAUCUUAUCAUUUAGAGGAAGGAGAAGUCGUAACA